rnacentral:rRNA from 1 species
GAUGAACGCUGGCGGCGUGCCUAAUACAUGCAAGUCGAGCGAACAGACGAGGAGCUUGCUCCUCUGACGUUAGCGGCGGACGGGUGAGUAACACGUGGAUAACCUACCUAUAAGACUGAGAUAACUUCGGGAAACCGGAGCUAAUACCGGAUAAUAUAUUGAACCGCAUGGUUCAAUAGUGAAAGACGGUUUUGCUGUCACUUAUAGAUGGAUCCGCGCCGCAUUAGCUAGUUGGUAAGGUAACGGCUUACCAAGGCAACGAUGCGUAGCCGACCUGAGAGGGUGAUCGGCCACACUGGAACUGAGACACGGUCCAGACUCCUACGGGAGGCAGCAGUAGGGAAUCUUCCGCAAUGGGCGAAAGCCUGACGGAGCAACGCCGCGUGAGUGAUGAAGGUCUUCGGAUUGUAAAACUCUGUUAGUAGGGAAGAACAAAUGUGUAAGUAACUAUGCACGUCUUGACGGUACCUAAUCAGAAAGCCACGGCUAACUACGUG